rnacentral:rRNA from 1 species
GAUGAACGCUGACAGAAUGCUUAACACAUGCAAGUCAACUUGAACUUCGGUUUGGGUGGCGGACGGGUGAGUAACGCGUAAAGAGCUUGCCUCACAGCUAGGGACAACAUUUGGAAACGAAUGCUAAUACCUGAUAUUAUGAUUUUAGGGCAUCCUAGAAUUAUGAAAGCUAUAUGCGCUGUGAGAGAGCUUUGCGUCCCAUUAGCUAGUUGGAGAGGUAACGGCUCACCAAGGCGAUGAUGGGUAGCCGGCCUGAGAGGGUGAACGGCCACAAGGGGACUGAGACACGGCCCUUACUCCUACGGGAGGCAGCAGUGGGGAAUAUUGGACAAUGGACCAAGAGUCUGAUCCAGCAAUUCUGUGUGCACGAUGAAGUUUUUCGGAAUGUAAAGUGCUUUCAGUUGGGAAGAAAAAAAUGACGGUACCAACAGAAGAAGUGACGGCUAAAUACGUG